GAUGCUAUGAAGAUUCCUGCUGAAGCAGAUGCGUUGGUUGGCUAGACUGUUGCUUUUAAAAUAGACGUUACCCACUAUGUCUUGAAGUAUAACAUCCAUAAGUAUGGUAUACUCAAGUUGACUGUGGAUCCAAACGUUAUAUCUCAGCUUCAAGACAAGCAAUCUUCUUCCCAGAUCAGUUCUUCUCAGAAUUGUUCUCUGAAUAUCGGUGCUUCCGAAUUUCAGUCUCAGUCAUCUCUGAUGGUUUGAAGGACUAUGUUGUCAAAGGAAGCCAGAGCACGACUCCUGUAUCUAACAUGGCUAGCACCGUUUCACCUGUUGCUUUGGAUGUCACUGAUACUCCUGCUUCCAUGUUAGUUAAGGAUGACGUGAAGCGAAACUUGGUUGAAGUCUAUGAUGUUGAUGAAGAUUCUCAGAUGUCUGCAACAAAGGUCCAUAAAUCUGGCGAGGUUAAGGAUGCAAAUAGUGCAGAGAGGAUGAACCUCAUCAUUCCUAAAAUCGAGAAAUAGUUGUGCAAGUUUUCAUAUCAUUAUGUUAUUGGCUGUUUUA